UGAUCCCAUGACCCAUUUGAAUUGUAGCAGACACCACACACUGAGUUACUUGACCACAUUUGAAAAUGCAAAACCGGACCAAGACCACCACUUGCAAAGACAAGCACAUUAUCUUGAGGAACUCUUCCGCUUGGGCGCAAUGGCAGAAACGCCCAGCGUGCUAGACAAAAGUGGGGACCUUCCCCAUCAGCUCCCAAAGCAGAAAACCUAUCGAGUCAGGGAUCAGCUGCAGCUGAAGUUCCCGGGCGCACUCCCACCCUUUCCACGCUCCACCUGGAUUCACCCCCACGUGCCCUAUGACAACUUUGAUCAUGCCUGCAAAAACAUCUGGAGGAGAGCAGAGGAGGCCAGGAGGGAAUUUGGAAGAGGUCAUCAUCCACCGGAAUCUCCGCACAACAAAGGCGGCGCACCCCCAGAAAGAAAUCACUGGACUGAAGAGCAGCAGAAGGAGACUGAUGAUUUGGGUCUGAAAUACCACACAGAGUUCUCCCUGCCUUGCCCUUAUCUCUCGGGCGACAGACAUCCCCAUGUAGCCAAGCCUGUACGGGCACUGAGCCCUGUGAUGGAGGUGGAGAUGAAACCAAAUGAGGGACAGGCAGAGAGGAAAAGAAAUUUGGGAGGUGACAUGGAAUGUAAACAAAGAAGGGUGGAAAAAUCCUUCCUCCAGUCCAUCAGGAGAACAGACAAACACAGCGCCGCACCAGAAGCUGGACCCCUGACCAUAAAUCCCAUUUGCUCUGCUGCUGAAGACCCCGCCCCGCACCUGCACGAAGAUAAAUCGGUCAUUAGGAGAUUCGCCCACAAUAAUCUUAAUUUUCUUACUAUACCUGUGUUGCGACCUUGUAAACCAGAUUCAAGCUCUGACAGCAAUAAGGAUCUCCCAUUAUGUACUAUAAAGAACAACUUACCUAGGCUGCUGAACAUCAAAGCUUGCAUUCUACCGUGUCCAACGGAGACUCCAGCCUCAAGGAAGCUGUGCGACGCACAUGACAACCCCACUGCCACUUUACAAAGAGGCAUGACUGCCCCUGUGAUGGCUCCUGUGCAAGGCAGAGCAGAAGCACCUCAGGGAAACACAAAAACGAAUGCACCAACAGCAGCCCUAACGCAGCAGGAAGCGUAUGACCUACUGGCCAACUUCCCAGCCCUCGAACGACCAAAGAAGCCUUUGGGAUUGGACAUGCAAGGUGGGAAUCCCAAAAUGAGAAUUGAAAUGGGGCAAAGUGGACUUACUCACCCUCCAAAACAUUGCCCAUCAAGUGGGGCUUCCCAUCAGAGGAGGAUGGGAAAUGUGUCCCAUGAGGUCUCCUCUAUCAGCGCAGGAGAAGAGAAAUAUGUGCUGAGCCUUCACUAUCCUACCAACAACUGUGGGCAUCUGACGAACCUCAACCAGCGUCCCCCGAGAGUUGCAGCUGCACAUGGCAUGGAUGUACACGCCAGGUCCUGGGCCAGCGCUGUGAAAGCAGGCAUGACGCAAGCAGCUGCCCCUCAGGAGAAAGGCAGACUCUGUACCUUUCAGCAAGUGGAUACCAAUAACAGAGCAAAAGCCAGGCACAGUCUCGCUCAGAGCUUCUCCAAGAGAGUGACUCCUUCCCACCAGUUGACUAGUUUGUGGCGGGGCCCUCAAACCUGCAACCCAAACUGGUUUGCUCGAGUCGAUUACCCUCCGAACCAUUGGCACUGUGGAGUCUGGGCACAUCGAGCCGACUGUCCUCCAAGAUUCAGAUGUCCCUGUUCUACUUUCCAACAGGCUAAUUCAUCGGAGGUGCAGACACAGUCUCUAUGGGGUGUUGGGUGGUGGACUGCUGUAAUAGAAGCGCAGGGGAGCGUACCGGGUCUUGGCCAGAGAGUCCGCCAAUUAUCUACAGGGACCACUUUCUUUGCCGGACACCGCCACUACAGUUAGCAGUUAAAAGAUGACAUCCAACAAAGAUGGUCAAACAUGGUGACUGUCGUUUUCUGACGAUGUGACGACAACCAUUGAGACGAAAAGCAAUUGUAUUUCUGCGAGGGACAUUGGUGGACCAUAAAAAAAACGUCCCGGGCUGCUUUUUCUUUGUCCGCAGUUUCAUAAAUAUUUGCUUCAUACAACUGUAUUUCACUUUCACUAAGCAUAACCUCCUGCUCUUUUUGGGCUGAACCACAGUGAGUGUUUUAGAGUGAGGCGGACGCGGAGGACACAUCCCAGCCAGUGUUUUAAUUCAUUAACGAGCAUCUGUAUGCUGUGCACACAAAAGUUAGGCCCUAAAUACAAAUUGCAAACUGUAUGCACUUUCCAAAUUAAUUGAGUGAUGCGUAGUAAUAACAAAAUCUCGUUGUGCUGUGGUGAUAGUGAAAUGGCGAUUAUUCAGCAGUGCAGUGUCAUUUUCGCCAGCAGACCGUCUCAUACAUUAUGCAUCCAAAUCAUUGCAUUUUCCUCCAUUCUGGGCUACAAUGCAUAUUUCAUCAAGUCAGUGAAAUAUUAAGCACUCUUAUGAUUUGAUAUUCUCUUCCAAGGGGGAUUUCAGUUCAUAUAUUUUCUUCACAUCACUCGGGUCUCCUCUGGGAGCAAACUUCCGGGGAUAUCUUUAUUUGUUUGUUUACCGGAGAGAUUUUUGAUUGGUUAAUGCUGGAGUAAUGAUCAAUGAGGCAACCAAUCAAUUUGAGAGAUUAUCGGAGGCUCAGAAGCCACUGAUCAAUAAGAGGGCUCGGCGCUGAAUGGCGGAUUGGGCUCAUUCCAACUCAUUUGAUUGAAAUUAGAGAAGCUCAAACUGUGUGGCUCUUCUCCCUCUGUCUGCCCUCAGAUUUCAAAUGUCAGCUGUUGUUUAGGUGAAGGAGACUGAUGAGAAAUUGGAGGAGGAGGGAAGAGGUGUGUAGGUGAACAUUUGAGUCAAAAAACAUAUACACAAAGGGCUGCUUCUUGUGUGAGAGGGAAAAGACAAGAGCGUUAACUUGCAAAAAUGUAGGCGUUUUUUAUUAAAGGGCCUGGUUUCAGCCUGGUUCAAAAAACCUUGUGUCAUUUUAUCUGCACCGUCUCAAAGGUGCUCUGCUUUAUCUUUUAUGGUGCCGUCUUGUCAAAAAAUGAUCUUCAACUAAUAAUCUUUACCCAAAUGUCAAAAUGUACUCUUAGACAUUAAAUGUGAAAAGUUUUCUGGGUGUAUUAAGAGGAUGCGGUAAAAAAUCUGACAUUUUCCCUGAACGUUUUAGUCAUUUAAAAAGAAAUCAGCCCCGGGCUGAUGAGCUAGUGAUGUUACUUUCAGCACAUCUAAGACAUGCAGUUGAGAGAAGUGAUUUCAGGCACAGUAGAAGAAGGAUUCAGGGAGAUUUGGGCUAUAUAGAUUAUGUUUGAAACAAUUGCCACCCAAUGUAUAGAAUAAAUUUGCACCCCAAAGUGUUUUACAAGAAACAGGUGGGGUAAGUUUAAAACAACACACCAUGUGACUCACUUUUAACAUUGGUUGGACUGGUGAGCCGUACUUUUUCAUUUAGGUGCACCAGCACAUGAUUAAGUGGCGCCCAAAAAUGUUUACUCCGCCUUUUGGCACCACAAUAAUACACCUACAGUAUUUUACCUUUUCCUGACAGUUCCCACAUACAUUGGUAAUUUCUUAACACAUAAUGUAAAUGACUGUAAACAGGAAUAAAGGUGCUUUUUCAUGAGCAUGAUUUGUGACCUACAUUUUGUAAAUGGUAGAUCUUCUUUGGCGAUAUUAUAAACAGUGUUAAAUUCUAUUAUCAUUUCUGACUCGUGUUGUCAAGUGUAAUGUAUGUU